rnacentral:lncRNA from 1 species
GUAAUUGCAUAAAAGACCCCAAAAGUACCCCCACUAGGGGGUGGCCGGUUUUGGAGUGUGAAUGAGUGUGAAAGGGUUUUUUAUGCAACUUGAUUUUGGUGGGUGAGGUAAAGGUGAAAUUGAUGGUUUGUAAGAAAAUGUUUUGUAAAACAUUAAAGAGUUUAGACAAACAUUAAAGCCAAAAUUAAUGCUUCACCAAUAACUUUCACCCAUCAAAAUUAAACCAAAACUUUAUGAAAAACAUAAAACUUUGAAUCAAAACUUCAAACGUUUUUGUUCUUGGCAAGAACUUCAAGAACAUUUGAAGAACACCAUGAAAACUCAUAAUAGCCCCAUGAAUGUUUUCAUUCACCAAAACUCAAUUUUUCACCACUCAAAAGAGGGCUAAUAUCCUAGGG